rnacentral:lncRNA from 1 species
CCUGUCUUCAGGGCCACAAAUGUCAGAACAUCAAGAAUACCAAAUAGAAUGGGCUGGGAGUAUAGCUCAGUGGUAAAGCACUUGCCUAACAUGCUCUGAGUUCAAGCCCUAGCACCUAAAAAAAAUACCCAAAAUAAGAAAAUAUAGUUAAUGCAAUUAACUCUGUGAUGAAUGGACAAGUAGACAAAUACAGAAUCUGUGAAAACAGAACAAAGGGAUCUCACUAUCUUCAGCUGGCAGUCCCCAAUUGUGGCAAACACAAUUACAAUAUUUUUAAAAUAAGUAAUUGACUUUUUAUAGUCUGUACUUAAUAGCUCUAUGUUAUUAUGUGUAUAGAUUUUUGAAAGCUGUACUCUAAUCAAGAUGUACUUGCAGUAGAAGAUUGGAAACCCCAGACCAUUAAUAUAAAUGAUAAAAGUGUAUGACUCGAUGGGGAAGCUUGGGAGCAAUGUCCUUAAUGGCAUCGUGGACAGUGAGUGUGUCUCCAUCCUUGGCCCCUCAGGAACUUCCGAGGGCAGUACUGCAAGCUUCAUGUGCUGCAGAUAAAGUGCUUGAAUGGACAGCCACAGUUCCUGAAAAUCCACUGUACCUUUAUUCUCAGAGUGGCCAAUUCUGUCUUGGGGUGGACACAUUUUUUCUGAUCAGAUGCCACUGUUGAUCGAUGAGUGACUGACUGAAGAUCGAUUGAUUGCCUAGCUGUCUCCACCAGAAUGUUCCGCGGAGAUGUUUUCCGUUUUGUGUACUACUGUGUCCCUUGGGGCCUAAAACAGUGCUGGUCAUAGAGCACCUUUUUGUUGUUGUGGUUCAUUUGUUUGUUUUGUUUUACAUUUUUAUUAGUAUAUGAUAGUUAUGUAGGGGCUUUCGUUAUGACAUUUCCAUAUAUACAUGUUUCACACCCU